rnacentral:rRNA from 1 species
AGCGAACGCUGGCGGCAGGCCUAACACAUGCAAGUCGAACGGAUCCUUCGGGAUUAGUGGCGGACGGGUGAGUAACACGUGGGAACGUGCCCUUUGGUUCGGAACAGCUCAGGGAAACUUGAGCUAAUACCGGAUGUGCCCUUCGGGGGAAAGAUUUAUCGCCAUUGGAGCGGCCCGCGUCUGAUUAGCUAGUUGGUGGGGUAAAGGCCCACCAAGGCGACGAUCAGUAGCUGGUCUGAGAGGAUGAUCAGCCACAUUGGGACUGAGACACGGCCCAAACUCCUACGGGAGGCAGCAGUGGGGAAUCUUGCGCAAUGGGCGAAAGCCUGACGCAGCCAUGCCGCGAGAAUGAUGAAGGUCUUAGGAUUGUAAAAUUCUUUCACCGGGGACGAUAAUGACGGUACCCGGAGAAGAAGCCCCGGCUAACUUCGUGCCAGCAGCCGCAGUAA